GACGAACGCUGGCGGCGUGCUUAACACAUGCAAGUCGAGCGGUAAGGCCCUUUCGGGGUACGACGAGCGGCGAACGGGUAGAGUAACACGUGGGUGACCUGCCCUCCAGCUCUGGGAGUAAGCCUGGGAAACCGGGUACUAAUACUGGAUAUGACUCCAUGACGCAUGUUGUGGGGUGGAAAGCCUUGUGCGGCUGAGGAUGGGCCCGCGGCCUAUCAGCUUGUUGGUGGGGUGAGGCCUGCC
rnacentral:rRNA from 1 species